rnacentral:rRNA from 1 species
ACUCCUACGGGAGGCAGCAGUGGGGAAUAUUGCACAAUGGGCGCAAGCCUGAUGCAGCCAUGCCGCGUGUGUGAAGAAGGCCUUCGGGUUGUAAAGCACUUUCUAGUUGUGAGGAAGGUGGUGUCGUUAAUAGCGGCAUCAUUUGACGUUAGCAACAGAAGAAGCACCGGCUAACUCCGUGCCAGCAGCCGCGGUAAUACGGAGGGUGCGAGCGUUAAUCGGAAUUACUGGGCGUAAAGCGCAUGCAGGUGGUUUGUUAAGUCAGAUGUGAAAGCCCGGGGCUCAACCUCGGAACUGCAUUUGAAACUGGCAGACUAGAGUACUGUAGAGGGGGGUAGAAUUUCAGGUGUAGCGGUGAAAUGCGUAGAGAUCUGAAGGAAUACCGGU